rnacentral:misc_RNA from 1 species
AAGUCGUAACAAGGUUUCCGUAGGUGAACCUGCGGAAGGAUCAUUACAGAGUUCAUGCCCUGCGGGGUAGAUCUCCCACCCGUGUGUAUCAUUAUCGAAUGUUGCUUUGGCGGGCCGCGUGCCUCGCACGCCUGGAUUCGCGUCCGGCGUGCCCGCCAGAGGACCCCUAAACUCUGAAUGUUAGUGUCGUCUGAGUACUAUUAAAUAGUUAAAACUUUCAACAACGGAUCUCUUGGUUCUG